UACGUAGGGUGCGAGCGUUGUCCGGAAUUACUGGGCGUAAAGAGCUCGUAGGUGGUUUGUCGCGUUGUUCGUGAAAUCUCACGGCUUAACUAUGAGCGUGCGGGCGAUACGGGCAGACUAGAGUACUGCAGGGGAGACUGGAAUUCCUGGUGUAGCGGUGGAAUGCGCAGAUAUCAGGAGGAACACCGGUGGCGAAGGCGGGUCUCUGGGCAGUAACUGACGCUGAGGAGCGAAAGCGUGGGGAGCGAACAGGAUUAGAUACCCUGGUAGUCCACGCCGUAAACGGUGGGUACUAGGUGUGGGUUUCCUUCCUUGGGAUCCGUGCCGUAGCUAACGCAUUAAGUACCCCGCCUGGGGAGUACGGCCGCAAGGCUAAAACUC
rnacentral:rRNA from 1 species